CAUGAAAAUAUGACGCUGGCGGCAGGCUUAACACAUGCAAGUCGGGCGGAAACGAUGGUAGCUUGCUACCAGGCGUCGAGCGGCGGACGGGUGAGUAAUGCUUAGGAAUCUGCCUGGUAGUGGGGGAUAGCCCGGGGAAACUCGGAUUAAUACCGCAUACGCCCUACGGGGGAAAGCAGGGGAUCUUCGGACCUUGCGCUAUCAGAUGAGCCUAAGUCGGAUUAGCUGGUUGGUGGGGUAAUGGCCUACCAAGGCGACGAUCCGUAGCUGGUCUGAGAGGAUGAUCAGCCACAUCGGGACUGAGACACGGCCCGAACUCCUACGGGAGGCAGCAGUGGGGAAUAUUGGACAAUGGGCGCAAGCCUGAUCCAGCCAUGCCGCGUGUGUGAAGAAGGCUUUCGGGUUGUAAAGCACUUUCAGCGAGGAGGAAGGCCUUAAGACUAAUACUCUUGAGGAUUGACGUCACUCGCAGAAGAAGCACCGGCUAACUCCGUGCCAGCAGCCGCGGUAAUACGGAGGGUGCAAGCGUUAAUCGGAAUUACUGGGCGUAAAGCGCGCGUAGGUGGUUAUGUAAGCGAGAUGUGAAAGCCCCGGGCUC
rnacentral:rRNA from 1 species